GACAUCUUGGAUCUUCUCAGUGCUUCUCUGGGCACUUAAGCAUAGGUGGUGAGGCAGCUAUAGAGAGAUAUUUCAGCGUUGUGCCCCUGCAGGUCAACACUGAAGUCCUGACAUUGCCCUGGUAAGAUUCAGCCAGGAUGGCAGAGCUUUUUCACCACCCCCACCCCCAUCCUUCCCUUACAGGAAAGGCAUUUUGGCACUGUGUCCAUCCAGGAGUAGAACUUUGCUCCCGACAUUUCCCUGGAGAGUCAGCCAGGCCCAGAGAGAAGAGCUUUACCACAACUCCUAGGGGAGCAGCAGCUAAUAUGCCAUGCUCCUGCUACAGAUGAUCCCCUGCACCAUGCUCAAGGACCCUGGGCAAGGUUCCCCAGACCCCAGCUGCCUAAGAAGAGUCCUGUCUUGUGCGACCCUUGACUUUCCAGAACUAUUGUUUUUUUACUUUGAAUGCUCUGGGAGCGGGGAGAGGGACUGGAUCAGACGGGAGGAGGAAAAGUGCUGGAGUGCCAUUUGCAAGCCUCUCCAGGUGCACAGCUUGGGAGUCAUCCUGGCAGUGGGCCUGAAGCAGCUGAGAUAAUGGUCCCACAUGGGACCCCUGCCAUCACAUCAGUGCCUUUCUUGGACUGGGAGUGGGGGAGUGGAGUUGUUUAGCGGGGGGGAUUCUUCUCAUUCCUGCUGUACUGCAACCCUAGUGGUUCUUAUAGAUAGCUGCGUGUUAUCUUACAUCCCUGACCUCAGUGUCUUCUCUGCUACCCAGGCCCAUGAGGCUGCCAACCAAGGAAGGGCAACAAGCACUGGCAUUUGUACUUGUUUUUUACACUGUGUCUGCCGAGCUCAAUAAACUGUUUUAGUGUC